UAGGGAAUCUUCCACAAUGGGCGAAAGCCUGAUGGAGCAACGCCGCGUGUGUGAUGAAGGCUUUCGGGUCGUAAAGCACUGUUGUAUGGGAAGAACAGCUAGAAUAGGAAAUGAUUUUAGUUUGACGGUACCAUACCAGAAAGGGACGGCUAAAUACGUGGCAG
rnacentral:rRNA from 1 species